rnacentral:misc_RNA from 1 species
AAGACUAUAGACCUGCGGAGUACCUGCGGAGGGAUCAUUACCGAGUGUUUCUACUCUAAACCCACUGUGAACCUUACCACUGUCGUUGCUUCGGCGGGCGUCCGCGCCCGCCGGCAGCACCCAAACUCUUGAUUUUUAGCAUGCCUCUCUGAGUACUAAAGACAAAACAAUCAAAACUUUUAACAACGGAUCUCU